rnacentral:ncRNA from 12 species
GAAGAUAGAGGUUGAGAACCUGUCACCAACGCGGCAUCUCUUAUGAGAUGUGUCAGAAAUGUAGGAGACCCGACAGUCCUACCUAUCGUU